rnacentral:rRNA from 1 species
AACGAACGCUGGCGGCAUGCCUAACACAUGCAAGUCGAACGAGACCUUCGGGUCUAGUGGCGCACGGGUGCGUAACGCGUGGGAACCUGCCCUUAGGUUCGGCAUAACUCCCCGAAAGGGGUGCUAAUACCGGAUAAUGUCUUCGGACCAAAGAUUUAUCGCCUUUGGAUGGGCCCGCGUUGGAUUAGCUAGUUGGUAGGGUAAAAGCCUACCAAGGCGACGAUCCAUAGCUGGUCUGAGAGGAUGAUCAGCCACACUGGGACUGAGACACGGCCCAGACUCAUACGGGAGGCAGCAGUGGGGAAUAUUGGACAAUGGGCGAAAGCCUGAUCCAGCAAUGCCGCGUGAGUGAUGAAGGCCUUAGGGUUGUAAAGCUCUUUUACCCGGGAUGAUAAUGACAGUACCGGGAGAAUAAGCUCCGGCUAACUCCGUG